CCUACGGGAGGCAGCAGUAGGGAAUCUUCCACAAUGGACGAAAGUCUGAUGGAGCAACGCCGCGUGAGUGAAGAAGGUUUUCGGAUCGUAAAACUCUGUUGUUGGAGAAGAACGUAUUUGAUAGUAACUGAUCAGGUAGUGACGGUAUCCAACCAGAAAGCCACGGCUAACUACGUGCCAGCAGCCGCGGUAAUA
rnacentral:rRNA from 1 species